rnacentral:rRNA from 1 species
AACGAACGCUGGCGGCAGGCCUAACACAUGCAAGUCGAGCGCCCGCAAGGGAGCGGCGGACGGGUGAGUAACGCGUGGGAACGUGCCCUUUGCUACGGAAUAGCCUCGGGAAACUGAGAGUAAUACCGUAUGUGCCCUUCGGGGGAAAGAUUUAUCGGCAAAGGAUCGGCCCGCGUUGGAUUAGGUAGUUGGUGGGGUAAUGGCCUACCAAGCCGACGAUCCAUAGCUGGUUUGAGAGGAUGAUCAGCCAGACUGGGACUGAGACACGGCCCAAACUCCUACGGGAGGCAGCAGUGGGGAAUCUUAGACAAUGGGCGCAAGCCUGAUCUAGCCAUGCCGCGUGAGCGAUGAAGGCCUUAGGGUUGUAAAGCUCUUUCGUGGGGGAAGAUAAUGACGGUACCCCAAGAAGAAGCCCCGGCUAACUCCGUGCCAGCAGCCGCCGUAAAAC